AUUGAACGCUGGCGGCAUGCCUUACACAUGCAAGUCGAACGGUAACAGGUUAAGCUGACGAGUGGCGAACGGGUGAGUAAUGUAUCGGAACGUGCCCAGUCGUGGGGGAUAACUACUCGAAAGAGUGGCUAAUACCGCAUACGACCUGAGGGUGAAAGCGGGGGACCGUAAGGCCUCGCGCGAUUGGAGCGGCCGAUAUCAGAUUAGCUAGUUGGUGGGGUAAAAGCCCACCAAGGCGACGAUCUGUAGCUGGUCUGAGAGGACGACCAGCCACCCUGGGACUGAGAGAAGGCCCAGACUCCUACGGGAGGCAGCAGUGGGGAAUUUUGGACAAUGGACGCAAGUCUGAUCCAGCCAUGCCGCGUGCGGGAAGAAGGCCUUCGGGUUGUAAACCGCUUUUGUCAGGGAAGAAACGAGUUUCUCUAAUACAGAGACUUAAUGACGGUACCUGAAGAAUAAGCACCGGCUAACUACGUGCCAGCAGCCGCCGCAGUAA
rnacentral:rRNA from 1 species